GGAUUGUGGCUUAGUGGUAGAGCGCUUGUCUAGCACAUGUGAGGCACUGGUUUCUAUCCCCAGUACCA
rnacentral:tRNA from 1 species